GUCGUCAGCUCGUGUCGUGAGAUGUUCGGUUAAGUCCGGCAACGAGCGCAACCCACGUCCUUAGUUGCCAGCAGUUCGGCUGGGCACUCUAGGGAAACUGCCGAUGAUAAGUCGGAGGAAGGUGUGGAUGACGUCAAGUCCUCAUGGCCCUUACGGGUUGGGCUACACACGUGCUACAAUGGCAGUGACAAUGGGUUAAUCCCAAAAAACUGUCUCAGUUCGGAUUGGGGUCUGCAACUCGACCCCAUGAAGUCGGAAUCGCUAGUAAUCGCGUAACAGCAUGACGCGGUGAAUACGUUCA
rnacentral:rRNA from 2 species